GAUGAACGUUGGCGGCGUGCCUAACACAUGCAAGUCGAGCGAGAAAAGGGCUUCGGCCCCCAGUAAAGACGGCGGACGGGUGAGUAAUACAUAGGUAACUUUCCCUUUCGAGCGGGGGACGAACGUUUCGUAAAGGAACGCUAAUACCGCAUAAGUUCUUUGUAGACUUCGGUCUUGGAGAGGAAAGCUAGGUAGCAAUAUCUGGCACUCGAGGAGAGGCCUGUGUCGCAUCAGCUAGUUGGUGAGGAAUGGCUCACCAAGGCGAAGACGCGUAGCUGGUCUGAGAGGAUGAUCAGCCACAC
rnacentral:rRNA from 1 species